rnacentral:rRNA from 1 species
UACGUAGGUGGCGAGCGUUGUCCGGAAUAACUGGGCGUAAAGGGAGCGUAGGUGGUUGUUCAAGUUAGGUGUGAAAGCCCAGGGCUCAACUUUGGAACUGCACUUAAAACUGGACGACUAGAGUACAGGAGGGGUAAGCGGAAUUUCUAGUGUAGCGGUGAAAUGCGUAGAUAUUAGGAAGAACACCGGAGGCGAAGGCGGCUUACUGGACUGCAACUGACACUGAGGCUCGAAAGCGUGGGAAGCAAACA